UACAGAGGUGUCAAGCGUUGUUCGGAUUCAUUGGGCGUAAAGGGUGCGUAGGCGGCGCGGUAAGUCGGGUGUGAAAUCUUGGAGCUUAACUCCGAAACUGCAUUCGAUACUGCCGUGCUUGAGGACUGGAGAGGAGACUGGAAUUUACGGUGUAGCGGUGAAAUGCGUAGAUAUCGUAAGGAAGACCAGUGGCGAAGGCGGGUCUCUGGACAGUUCCUGACGCUGAGGCACGAAGGCCAGGGGAGCAAUCGGG
rnacentral:rRNA from 1 species